GAACUUCAGAUAAAAAAAAAGAACUUGGACAGUGAUGAUGUGGAUUUCAGUUUACAAACGCUUUACCUAGCAAAACAAUCCUUGUAAUAUGCAGAGAGAAGUUUUCCUGUUUCGUACUGCACCAGAUCUACCUUAUUUCUGUAGACCUUUACCUGCAGUGGCUGACAGGCUGAUCCCUAUUUGCACAGCAUUUUGUCAGGAAUGGAAUAAAUCAGACUUGCUAGCUUGUCACAUAGUCUACCAUUUUCUGCCUGGCCUUCAACAGUGAGAUUUACAGAACAAAUGCAAAUACUCUGGCUGUUAGUGAUGCACACUGCACUGCUGAUGAGGUGAGCAACACCACCUCCCAUUUGCAUUGUUACAGAGGGUUCCAUGGUCAGCAGGAGAACUGUUAUGUCACAGCCUGAACAGAUGAUUGAGCUCCCAGUGAAGGGGUGGCUGGCCCAGGAAGCACAGGUGCAAACAACUUGCCUGUGAUUCCCACCUGACCAGAAAAGGACGGACUCUGGGUCCACCCUUCCUCCCCCUCCCCCCAGGCUCAUUUAAGGGCUGGUCUCCAUGGGGGAAAAUGUCUUAUGGAUGUAGGCUGCUUCUUGAGGAGCGUUCCCCAGCCAGAGACCUUCAUCAGCAACUGGGAGCUCAAGAUUUAUGAUCGUCUUACUAGCAGAACUACUCUUCCUCCCCAGUAAAGCUUCAAGAAUGAAAUGAAGGGCAUAUUGUGAAUAAGAUUCAUCUGAAGCACAGAUUCUCUGCAGAUCCUCUGCAGCUUCCUCUGCUCAGUCAAAGACUGUGAAGGAGUAAGAUAAGAGUCUUUUGUAUUCACCUCUGAACCAGGAGCCAUAGCUCCUCACUACCCUGAGAAGCUUCCAGUGAGGAUGGUCAAGCACUGCAGUGAGCAGCCCAGAGCGCCCAUGUGGUCCCAACCCCUCUCCACAGGGAGACAUCCAGAAUGUGCACAGCAGCCAGCUCCAGAUUAACCCUUCUGUGAGCAGCACAGCAACCUCCAGAGGUCAAUUCCCAUCUCAGCAGAUUUGUGAUUCCCCUCUCCGUGUUCCUGGACAUCCUGAGUAGGACACAAAUACCAUCUUCAUUUCUUUAAUUGCUUAUACAAAUCUGUAUCUGCCUCUAGAUGUUGUUAGCUAACAAGUUAAGGUUUCGUAUGUCUGGGGCCAUCUUUGUCUACCUUGUGUCCUGGUGUCUUUCACAGAGAGAAUAGGUUUGGCUCCUGUUCUCUGGCAUGUCUUUGUUCUCAGACAUCAUCUCACUGAUGUCAUUAGGCUGCAGCAGAUCUUAAUGUAGUCCCCAAGCACCUUCUUUAUGGGCCAUGUAGGCUCUGCAGAUGUAGUAAAACAAAUGUAAAGACCAAUGUGGCCUUUCUUGAACUUUCUCAAUUUUUCCCAAGAGCAUCUGAGGACUGAUCAUCCACAUCCAGCUAUCCCUGCUGAUCUACACUAUCAGUAAUUACAGGCUGUGCAUUAGAGGCCCCCCCACAAUUACUCAAAGAAUUCAAAAAGACAAGAAGUUUUUCAGUACUGCUUAUGUCAGUAUCCUGAAGCACAAUUUAAUCUUCCCAAGCAGUGGUUUGCCAGUCUCACACAUGGUAUGUACUCUGUGCUCUACAGAGGCUUGUACCAAGUCUUCAGCAGUUUUGAGCUGACACAGAAACUCUGGGCCUGGGUGGUGGUGAGAACCAACAGUGGUGAGAAUCUCCCUAAUUGUUACUCUAAAGAUAAUCUUUAGCAGUAUCUAACCUUUUCAUUUAUUUUUUUUUUCCAUCUUGCAAAUGUGUUUAAGACGAUUUAUUCAUUUGCUUUUUUCAGACAACUAGUACAUUAAUUUAUAAAGUCGUUUGAUUGAAGAUUUUUUACUAAUGUCUAAAGUGCAAAGUUGUGCCGGAACAAACUUAUUGUUUGGAACUAAAGUUACAUUUCUAUUUAGCAGUUUAAAGCUGGUGGCCAUCUUAUAACAAAGGUUUUAGCCUUCCUUAGUAGCUUUCUGUCAUUUUAUAAUACAGUCUGAACACUGAAGAUAAAUGGUGAAGAGCCCUCACCUCAGUUGUUAGUAAAUAGCGCAGAACACCAACAUGGCUCAUUUCCUAUUUGAUUCAUUGUGUUGGUUUUCUCCUUAUUUAGAAGUCGUGAAAACAUCUCCUUUUAUCUCUUCCUCCUGUUUAAGACCAUAAAGGCUGUAUUGUUUCUACUGCACAAUGUAAUAGUGUAGUGGUGAUUAAGGCAAUUAAAACUUUCCAUAGAAGGAUUAGAGUUGGUUGCAAAAUCCUGAAGUUCUGAAUGUCUCCUGAUACUCAUCUUUUUUUUUUUUUUUCUUUUCAAAAUGAAAGGCUACUGAAAUGCAGUGGAUAAUUCCCACUCAUAAUAAGUACAUAAGGAAAAAAUAAAUAAAAAUCUAGCAGGCUUAAAAUCGUAGCUCAGUGUCAUAGUAAUGCUUUUCCUAUUAACGAAUAAACGAAAAGUAAUUUCAUUACUAAAUGUGCCGAAGAUUUGGAGACAAGAUGAAUUUAGACAGCUGAUAUAUCGGUAUCCAGUUACUGGAAAUCUGUCCUGAUUAAUUCAUUUACACUGAAAAUCAAAAGUUAGGCAUUUCAAUAUCCUGAUUAGCAUAUCAAGGCUUUAAUAUGUUAUCUUUCCAACUAAGUGUCUUUCCUACCUCAGUGUUUUAAGUAAAUGGUCACGCUUUUCCACCUCUGAAUAGGAAUCCACUGCAAAAUUACCAUGCAGAGACAGUAUUUCCCUUUUACAAAAGGGGCCAUAUGGUUUUUUUUUCAGUAAUACAAUUUCCUGCUGUUAUAUCUGUUACUAUUGAGACACAUAACAAGCUUUAAACUUUUUAAAAACAUGGAAGUAAUGGAUGUGCUGUCAGCAAUAUGAUCUUUGUUUCCUUCAUUUUAAAUUCUGUUUCAGAUUUUUUUUCAGGAAGUCAGUUUUCUAAAUAAUCCAAACCUGUUUCUCUUUUGUCCAAAAAAGAAUGUAGUUUGUUCCUCCCUCUUCGUUUAUGCUAUCAGUCUGCUGUUUGUGAUAUUUUUAUCAAGUUGAAAUGAAAUUACCCAUAUUGUAAUUCAAUACCAUAUUUAAAAAUUGAUUUGCCUUGUAAAAAUAGCUUGGAGUGCUUAUGCUGGCUAGACUGUGUGACUUUCUGAGAUCUCACCUAUGAGAGACUAAAAAACAUUUGUCUGUACCCAAUUACAAGAGUCUUGUGCAUGCCAUUAAACAGAAAUGGAAUGCCAGGAGUUUGUAGGGAGUUUUAAAGAUACAAUGUUUAAUGCAAUACAAAAUUUUCCCAAGAUGAAAUGUAAACACAUUCCAGUGAGGUCAUUCAUUCACAAGGUUUACAGCAUAUAUUAGAUGAGUUCUUGCUUUUAUUGAAUAGUUCAGGUCAUAGAAUUCAUUGUCUCAGUUUGAAUGAUUAUUAUUCUAGUAUUGGUUAAUUGAGGCUUAGAAGUCAAAAGGCAUGUCAUGCAUUUGUGUUGGUUGGUUCUUCUCAGAUAACUUGCUUGCUUGUUCUUGUUUGAUCCCUGUUUGUUUUCCACAGUGAGGGACUGCAUUUCACAUUUCUGUCCUGUAAUCAGUCACGAUUUCAAAUGCUUCUAAUCUUAAUUUAGGUGCUCACUUUUAAAUUAAGAUUUGGAGAUUCAUUGUACUGGAAGAUCUGAUGUGAAACUGCAUAAGGAGCUUGUGCUGUUGUACUCAAAUCCUUUCUUCCCCUGCGUAUAUGUUGAUAUACAGAGUGGCAUGAUAGCUCAGUCACUCUUCAGUGUAAAUAUAAAUUACA